ACAUGCACCAGAUGUUCGUGGAAGAGGGGAAGGGGUGUGGCACUCUGAAUCCCAGUGAAAGUGGCUGGAUCAAGCUCCCCCCGAAACCCAUACUACUCUUAGACUUUUCCUCUACAUGAACCAAGUCUUUCUUCAAAUUAAUUUCGUUGGGUUUUUAAUUGUUUUAAUAACCAAAAGAAGCAUCUGUAUAACCUUGCCAUGUAUCUGUUUUUAAUUGAAGUCAUUAGAGUAGAUUUAUGAUUCAUGGAACCCAAACAAACCCCACCAAGGCAGGCGGAACCCCCCAGGGAGAUUUGAGGCUUGAAGACAGUGUCCCAGCAUGGCCCAAGUGAAAGUCCCCAGCCAGACAGGAAGCACUUGAAGAAGAUGCAAGGAACACGGAACAAGGAACACGGAACACGCUGUCCUCACGCUGGCCCCACCCCAGCCUCAGUACUGCUGUUAUCAGAAUCCCCGAGGCCACUGUCCUUCUAAAGGUCCUGGACAAAGGGUGAAGCCAGGAGCUCCUGAGGCCCAAGGGCAGGUCAGGGGCCUGUCAGAGAAGGGGGAAACAGGUCCAGGGCAGAGUUAUGUCUUCUUUUUCCCUGCGGCUCACACAGUACAGCUGUGGGCCACAGCAUGUGUGACCAACAACAGGGACAAAUGAUGUUCACUCCACAGCUCCGGUUUCAGUGCCAAGAGCACUGCUGAGGGUAAACUGAGUCAUGGAGGCAAAGGGGCUCAGCAGUAAGUGGUGGUGCAGGGAUUUGAACCCAGGCCUGCUGGGCUCCCAGUGUGGCCCCUUUCCCCACACACCACAGUGACACUGGGCCACCAGACCCCCUCCUGCAGUGGCCAUGUCUGACCUCGAAUUCCACUUCCAGCUGUUUCUGCUAUCAGCAGCCCUGAGAGCCGACUGCUGGGGAGGAAAAGGAUCAGCCGCAAACCUGACCCUUCUGCCUCUUGCAGACCCACUGAGGCGUGGGUGUGUCCCCGGGAACCUGGGAGCGGCUGCUUCGAUCAUUAGGGCCAGAAGGAGCCCUCAGAAAGGAGGGGGAGGUAAGAAGAAUUACAAGUACCUUUCCUGUGGACCAGGAUGUAGCUCAGUAGAGUUCAUGCUUACCAUGUGCAAGGCCCUGGAUUCCAACCCCAGCACCACAAAGACGAAAAAAAAAAGUGCAGCCCGCUGAGCAUGGCAGUGGCUGAGAACCAGAGUCAGCAGCGAGACUCCAGUUCCCCCAGCUUCCGGGUCAGCGUCUGUCCAUGGGGAAAACCCCACAUGCACUUCACGGGGCUCUCUGCGAAGAUUAAUUAGGGGGACAGGAAGUAGAACAUGGCCCAAUCCGACCACCCCUACAGAACAGUCACCAUGAACAGCUCAGCCAAGGAAAUCUCAACCCAGAUCAAGGAAAAUCAGCCAAAGAGCCCACUCCAGCCCAUGCACCCCCCUGGAAGCAGCCAUUCUGAAGACAAAUCUAAUCCUAGACUUCUAAAUUUUGUAAGCAAGUAAAGUCUCUUUUUUGCUUAAACCAGUAUGAAUUGGGGUUUCGUAGCUUGUAACAUCAAGGGUCCUAAUCCAGUGAUCUGCAUCUCUUUCUCCCAGCUGGGCCUCAGAAUCAAGACCAAGGGCAGGCUUGGCUUGUAAGAUAUCUAGGGCUUGCAUUUGUUUUUCUUUAAUUCAGAUGAGGACUGGUAUGCAGAGAAAGGACAUGCAUUUCUUCAAAUGUAGCAAGACACAUCAGGAAACCCCUCUUGAGAGGCUGGUCUUAGGGUCUUAUGUGAUAAGAUGACCUCUGCUUUGAGGGGGAGUCAAAAAGCAAGCAACGUGUCUGAAUAUCCUCUCCAACCUCCCUCAAAAAUGAAGUUUUUGUUCAUGUUUUCCCCUUAGCUUCUGGAGACACGGAAUCUGGCUUGACCAAAUUUUUCUGUAAAGCAUGGGCAGAGAUCAAUAAAUAACCUUUGGAGAGUCAUGAACUAUCUGCUGGCAAAGUGAAAGUCCCUUCCACUCCCACCAGGCCCCUACUGGUGAGCAGACUGGAACCUCUACCCUUUCCCAGAGCCCGCUUCCGGGCUAGGCCUUGAAUACCUCCCCGUGGUUUCUACAGUGAGUUCUUAACGUCCUCAGCUAACUGUGAGGGAGGCACAGGCCAGACAGCCACCCAUUACCAGCUCUGGGAAAUCUCAAGUCUGCCUCAAAGCUUUUUCUAGGGCAAAUUCUCUCCCCUAUUGAGACAGACCUGGGGACAAGCCCCAGCCUGCUCCAUUCUUUUGUUGUUGUUGUUGUUACCCGUAACCGAACUCAGGACUUUGGGCUUACCAGGCGGGCACAGCACCACUGAGCUACAACUCCAGCACCUCCAUUCUUGCUUUGUGGUCAUGGACAAAUCACUUCACCUCUCUGGGCUUCUGUUUUCCUUUCUGUGAAAUGGGACUAAAAUACUCCCCACCAUGCAGGGCUGUUCUGAGAGCUCCGUGUCAGUGUCCAUGGCGUCCUCCUUCAGACUGGCGUGGGCCCGGGCGGAGCAGAGAGCGGGGACACACUCAGGACUCUGAGUCAUUCCA